CUAAGUUCAUAACUAGGGGAGCAGAAAACACUUCCUAUAUAUGACUGAUAUACUAGCUCCACUUCUACAUUCCAAAAUGCAGUAACAAGACUUGACUAGAUGCCUGAUACUGUUUUCACUGUCAAAAUUCACUGUGUGCAUUUGAGAUUGUGGAAAAUGUUGAAGAGAAUCCCAGGGAGGACUUUUUCAUUAAAGGACCUGGGAGCUGGCUUUAAAGAUCACGAACAUAUUCAGUAAUUCACCAGAAGGGAAAUAGUCUGUAUUACUGCAUAAAGAAAAUGUAGUAAAAACACCCCUUUAUACAGUUGAUUUCAUGUUUAUUGCUUCAGUUAGGUUGCUAAUACCAAAAAUAGUUUGAAAUCACUCUUCCAAUGAUGAAAGAAAUCCAGUAAUUUCAUGUGUGAGUUCAACGCCUCUGUUGUUCCCACCUCUGUGACUGGCACUGUCUGCUACACAGUAGAAGCACUUGAUGUGAGAACUCCACAAUUGUAAUCUAGAUAAUCUUUGGCAUACAAGGAAUAAGUGGGAGGAGAACUUUGACUUCAAUGGCACUUAACCAGUGUCUUGCUGUGUGUGCUGUCCUUUGCAAUAUUUACCACUGAUGCACGCGGUGAAACACUAAGUCACCACUUAUGGCUGGAUUAUAAAAAAAAAACCUUAAAGCUAUUUGCCUGCUACUAAGAGAAGGAAUAAAAGAAAUACCUGAAGAUACAUUCAGAAAAGAACCCCCUUUCCCAACUGUGCUUGGAAAUUUUGCCAGAACAGCUGGAAUUUUUUUAAUUGUAGUUCUUACAAUCAUCAUUGUAAUUAUCUAGUGCCUCUUCUGCAGAGAAGGAAAACAUGCUGGCCAUUUAAAUAGCUCAAAUAAAAAGGCCAGAAAAACUAUCAUUAUUCAUGGACUGCAAAUGAGUUUGAAUCUUCUUCUGUGUUUGAUAAUAACAGCUGUUGGAAGACACCCUCAUAAUACUAUUUAAAUUUAUCAGCAUUUUUGUUUUGUUAUUCACUCGGUGCUUUAGUUCUGUGGUUUAUGGUCUGCAAAACAAAGAACUGCAAGCCAGUAGGCAAAGACUUAAUUCAUUUACUGACCACAUCAUAAACAAUAAUGACAUAGCAUCUAUUCAGUUUACUGAGUUAGGUGACUGAUCCCAAAUGUAAAACUCUAGCUGUUCCAUAGUUCAGAAAACACUAUCAUGCCAGCACUGUGAAACAAACAAGAAAGCCUUGAAUAGUCUUGCACAAAGUGUUCAUACAGCACUGGCUGGAAUUUAAGGGAGCUUAACCACCUUACAGAACAGUAUCUUCAUAAUCACAAAAGGUAAGACUGCAUAACUAAUAGAGUAUAGUCUAUGCUAGCCUGCACAAGUAAGCAUGGGUAAUUAUGACAGCUUUGUUUUGGCAUGUGCUAACAAGUUACAAACACUUUUAUAGUCUAGACAUCCUCUGGCUGAAAGCACAAACUUACAUGUUUGUCACUGCAUCUCUGCUUGUGAUGGCUGGAUUAUGCAAGCAUAUGCUAUAUCCACAACUCUGUUAUGUUCAUAAAUGUACUUCAAAUGAACUCCUAUGUAGCACUUAACAUAGCUAGUUUCUCAUUCGUUUCUUCAUAUUUAUCUUAAUAGUCUUAUUAAUCCCUGUGCAAUGUAGAGUCUCUCCUCCACAAGAACAGCAACUAUGUUGUCUAUAAUGUUUGUGUUAACUGCUUUGGUACACAUCACACUGCAGCAACCUGUGAGGAUAAAAUGAUGGAAGAAAUCCUCUUUCUUGCAUCUGAAAUGUGUUGUCUAUAAAGCUGUCUUCCUCACAAAAGUGAGUUUCUUCCAUAUCUCAGUGUGCCGAGUAUGUGUGGAGUAUCCUGGAUAGGCCUUUCUUGCUUUAUAAAUCUUGCUUUAUAAAUUUUGCCUCACUCCCAUUCCCACUAUCAUACAAAUUUUGUCAAGCAAGGAGCUCUUGAUCUUACAAAGCUGACACAUUGUUCUUAUAGGACCUCUAAACAUGUACUUUGAGGAAGGGCAUACAUAUUUUUUACCCCUUGCUUCCCCACACUUGCUAUAUCCCCUGAAAAGUCUAGCAGUCACCUUUAAGAGUUGGACUUUUAUUUUUGGAGAGGUUACCUAAGGCAUAGAAAAAUUUUUAAUGGAUUUUUUUUCCAGCAUUGCUACCCCAAGAGACCCUGUUAUGAGUACAUACAUCAGAAAAUGAACUACCAGAUUUUAAAUAAUUAUAGAAGUACAGGAAAUCAAAUCUGUGACUUACUUGCCUUUAAUGUUUAACCUUUUAGGAUAUGCUUGUUUUUAGCUUUUAUAUAUACCUGUGAAAAAUAAAAAUUAUGUGAAAAUAAACUUCUUUCCUUUUUCCCAAAUAAAAGCUAAUAUUCCUUCUAAUCAUAGGAUUCCACAAUCCUAUCCCAUAAUUCUGUGAUGAGGAAAAAUAAUACACUGCAUUCAGGGCAAAAUUUCAGUAGUGGCUGAGGUACUGUAUGAUUCACUACAUACUUACAUGUUUAACUUGUGACAUUUAAAUUUGAAAACAUUGGCCAUGUGUAUGUGAUCUUGUAUUUGCAGGUCUAACAAGCAGCUGAAAAAGAGAAGGUGAAAACUGCUCAUUUAGCAGUGAGUUAGGUGAACCAAUGAAAUCCUCCACUGAAACUUAAAGUAUGAAAAAAAAAAAUGAGGAAGUAUGAGCCCAACCACUUGCCAAUUUCUUCUGUGAUCAGGCAGAAGAUAAGCUGGUUUUGGUUUGGUGUUUAUACUAAGUUAAUAUUGUAAGUACAGCACAACUUGCACAGGAACUGAAAAUUAAAGCCAGCUGAUAAUAAGCUCCACUUUACCAUUUGGAACGAGCCCUCGGUUUUAGGUACACUGAGGAAAAAAAGGUUUACUGCCUAAUAGUAUAUCAUAAACAGAGAGAAUGUUAGCCAAGUAACGACUUGGAAAACAAAGGCCUGAGGUUUGUGUGCAUGCUGAGGCUAGUGCUGCCUGAUCCUGGCAGGCUGUGGAUGGGGGCUGCCAGCCCAGCACUGCUCACCAGUGCCCCUGCACAGCCACCCACCAGGCCAUGUGCUGAGCCAUGCUGGGGAGCCAUGCAGACUACUGGAGGUCUGCGCUUUCAUUAGUGCUUGUUUAAACCUAGAGUUUAGCGAGGAAACCAUCACAAGAUGUCAGAAACGAUGCAUGAAUUCUGAAGCGCAACACCUACUAAGCAUGUCAUCCAGAGCUACAUAGCUUCAGCAUCUCUGGAGUGCUAUGUAAAAACAUGAUAACAACCUACAUAGUGAUACCACAGGCCCAUAUUAGCCUUAGAGGUUAAAAUAAUUUCAAAGAAUACUAGAAAAUAGUAAUAAUAAUAAUAAAAAUAAAGAUUUAUUUUUCAGCAUACAUAAAUCGAAAUCCUGGUGCUUAUUUUAUCCUCUUAUGCACAAUGUUGAGACAGGAGAGUAGAGAAGGUGAAAAGGGUUCUGCUAUAGGGAGGUGGGGAAACUCCAACCUGAUAGAUGGAAAAAAAGUGCUGUCUGAGGACUGGAGUAGCACAAUUUGUAGCAGUCCAUUCUGAGUAUCACUUAACUGCUGAAUCUUUGCAGUUUACCAUCAUUGAAAAUACAGCACCAGAUUUAGAAAAACCGCAAUUUGAAACUUGAAUAGUGGUGGAAACUGUCAUCUCUGCAGAAUUUUGGCAAUAAGAGUAGAGUGAUUGAGGGACUCUCUCUUCUGACUGUC